AGAACGAACGCUGGCGGCAUGCCUAAUACAUGCAAGUCGAACGAGAUCUUCGGAUCUAGUGGCGCACGGGUGCGUAACGCGUGGGAAUCUACCCUUGGGUUCGGAAUAACAGUUGGAAACGACUGCUAAUACCGGAUGAUGACGAAAGUCCAAAGAUUUAUCGCCCAAGGAUGAGCCCGCGUAGGAUUAGCUAGUUGGUGAGGUAAAGGCUCACCAAGGCUACGAUCCUUAGCUGGUCUGAGAGGAUGAUCUGCCACACUGGGACUGAGACACGGCCCAGACUCCUACGGGAGGCAGCAGUAGGGAAUAUUGGACAAGUGGGGGCAACCUGAUACCAGUAAUGCCGCGUGAGGUGGUAGAAGGUCGUUAGGUUAGUAAAGCUCUUACCGAGAUGAUAA
rnacentral:rRNA from 1 species